rnacentral:sRNA from 1 species
AAACCAACAACGAAGGAAUAAAAACUUUGAUCUGUUCAAAGCGAAUACAAGCCUGCCACCUGGAGGAAGGACUGCACCCCUUCAGGCUCAAUUAUGUUCAAUUCCACAAAUAGUUAUGUGCCGGGCAUUGUGCUUCCUUCAUCAGAACAUUUAUCAAGUUUGCAUGUUUAUUAGCCACCUCUGAAAUGUUAAAAAAUGACUGCCAUUGAUCUCUGAGUGGCCUGUGGACUUGGCUUACGGCCCAUCAAGGCCUGGGUAACACAGCAUUGGACCACGCCAACACAGAAACUCAGAGGGGCCAGGUGGCUGCAGGCCAGAAGGAGCAGUGGGAAGGACUGUGGCCCAGAGGAGCUGAAUAGCAUCAGAGGAGUGACCUCUGUACCUGGUCAUGCAGCAGCCACCCACGCAGGCCACUGGGAGAAACCCAUGGUGGGUGCCCAGUGGGCUUCAUGGACGCCCUGACACCAGAGGCGGAAGGGGGUGUAUUUUCUGGAUUCCCAUCUCUCUUUGUUUCAAUAAAGACAUCUGCAAA